rnacentral:lncRNA from 1 species
GGAGAUGGCGUUCCAGGUUCAGAAACGUCCUGUAGAGAAGAAACUGAGACUUCAACAUCUCCUCCUCUUCUUUGGUUGUGCCUCUAUGUUGCAGUCCCAGACCUUCAAGAUUUCUUUUAAUGGCUGCCUUCGGAUUAAUCAGUAACGCCACAUCUUUCGGAAUUGCCUCCAGUGAUUAAGUACUCCACUGCUCUUUCCAGUCCAGGUUAGCAUUGAAGUUCCGUUUUCAAUUCCUUCAGCUUCUUCUCUAUUGCUUCUACUCUGACUUCUAUCUUCUUCUCGGCCAUUAGAUCGAAUGUGCUCUGAUACCACUUUGAUAUAACUUCGCAAGAAGAAAAUAAGAAUAGAGAAUAUCGAGAAUAUUGAUUGUAUUGCAUAAGAACAAUUACAAUAGAUGAACUUAUAAAACUUGGUCACACUCAAUAUUUGCCUACUCUACUGAGCCUCCCUCCCCUCUUAUUUGUAGCAAUUAUUCCCUAACUACUUUUCCCCCCAUUUGCCAUGUAAUUGCUGUUAUUCCCCCUUCUUCUAGUUGCUUCUCACUCCUUGUUUCAUCUAGAAUGAGCGAGGUGGAGGGAGCCUAUUUCUUGUUUGGUGUGCAACGAGGGUGUCUUGGUCACUCACCAGACACCAUAAAUGCCUGGCAUGUAGUGUUUGAUUGGAAGUAUCAACAAUGACGGACGUAGACAUUUUAAAUUAGGGGCAACAAUCAAACUUGCAAAAAAGUUGUGGCCAAUUUGCCAACCAUAGGCUCGAAUGUAGUUACUCCACAUUAAUGUAUUGAAAUUCUCAAUUAUCUUUUUUUAAAUCUAUCAUUCUCAUGGCUUGACAAUUGUGGCAAUUCAGACUCAUAUUUUAUGCUAC